GAUGAACGCUGGCGGCGUGCUUAACACAUGCAAGUCGAACGCUACACAUUCCUUCGGGUGUGUGUGGAGUGGCGAACGGGUGAGUAACACGUGGGCAACCUGCCCCUCACACUGGGAUAACUCAGGGAAACUUGAGCUAAUACCGGAUACUCCGAGCUGACCACCUGGUCUACUCGGGAAAGCUCCGGCGGUGAGGGAUGGGCCCGCGGUCCAUUAGCUUGUUGGUGAGGUAACGGCUCACCAAGGCCGCGAUGGAUAGCCGGGCUGAGAGGCCGAUCGGCCACACUGGGACUGAGACACGGCCCAGACUCCUACGGGUGGCUG
rnacentral:rRNA from 1 species